UUCAAAUACAAAAGCUUUUCCAUGACAUAAAAGCAUAUUCUUAAAAUAUUUUUCUUCACAUUUUGUCAAAAAUCCAUCGCAUCCAACAUUUAAUCUAUCCAAUGUAACAUCCAUAAAUUUAUGACCUAUCUUCUUUGGAUCCCUUAAAUUUGGUUGUAUCGAUGCUCCACUUAUUUUUUCUUCAUAAUUUGAUGGCAGUGGCAAAGCCACUCGUUUGACCUUUCUUGCUACUGGUUUAUACUUAGCUUCAAUACAUAUCUCUUGGCGACUUAAAUUUUCUAUAAAUCCUUAAAUUUCAUCAUAAAAUUCUUUAGAACAAACAUUAAUAACUCUAUUCUCUACUUGUAACCCACAUUGUAAUAGAUAAUUUAAUUCUCCCAUAGUAUUUGCAAAACCUAUUUCUUCAUAUGCUCUUGAAAUAAAUUCAUUUUCAAUCAAUUCUCUAUUUUUUUCAAGUUUUACUGAAUAUUUUUAAUAUGACAUUUGUCCAUCC
rnacentral:lncRNA from 1 species